AGAUCCACCGAUCGCCGGUGUAGAGAGGGAGUUAGGGCUUCAAUGGGUAAGCAAUCCGAACCUUAUUCCUUCUAUUUCUUUGAUUUGUGCCCUAGCUUCGAGUUUCAUCCUCGAUUCUUGCUUUUCCUCUUUGAUCGUCGGCGAUCCUAGGUCAGGUCAUGGAUCGUUUGAGUGGAUCUUGGAUUCCUCUGCCGGAGCUAGGUCUUGGCAGACGCUGGCUAGUUGAGGGACAGUAGAUUCAAUACAUUGCAUUAUGGAUUGGAUUAGGUGACACUUUCUGGAGGCAACCGAUCGAGUACUUGGACUUUCUCUUCUUCACUGUGAUUGAGGUCUCGGUUGAAGUGGAGAAGAAUCCCAGCAGUCAAUA